rnacentral:rRNA from 1 species
GACGAACGCUGGCGGCGUGCCUAAUACAUGCAAGUCGAACGCUUCUUUCCUCCCGGGUGCUUGCACUCAAUUGGAAAGAGGAGUGGCGGACGGGUGAGUAACACGUGGGUAACCUACCCAUCAGAGGGGGAUAACACUUGGAAACAGGUGCUAAUACCGCAUAACAGUUUAUGCCGCAUGGCAUAAGAGUGAAAGGCGCUUUCGGGUGUCGCUGAUGGAUGGACCCGCGGUGCAUUAGCUAGUUGGUGAGGUAACGGCUCACCAAGGCCACGAUGCAUAGCCGACCUGAGAGGGUGAUCGGCCACACUGGGACUGAGACACGGCCCAGACUCCUACGGGAGGCAGCAGUAGGGAAUCUUCGGCAAUGGACGAAAGUCUGACCGAGCAACGCCGCGUGAGUGAAGAAGGUUUUCGGAUCGUAAAACUCUGUUGUUAGAGAAGAACAAGGACGUUAGUAACUGAACGUCCCCUGGCGGUAUCUAACCAGAAAGCCACGGCUAACUACGUG